UGGGGAAUAUUGGACAAUGGGCGCAAGCCUGAUCCAGCCAUGCCGCGUGUGUGAAGAAGGCCUUUUGGUUGUAAAGCACUUUAAGCGAGGAGGAGGCUACUUGGAUUAAUACUCUAGGAUAGUGGACGUUACUCGCAGAAUAAGCACCGGCUAACUCUGUGCCAGCAGUCGCGGUAAUACAGAGGGUGCGAGCGUUAAUCGGAUUUACUGGGCGUAAAGCGUGCGUAGGCGGCUUCUUAAGUCGGAUGUGAAAUCCCUGAGCUUAACUUAGGAAUUGCAUUCGAUACUGGGAAGCUAGAGUAUGGGAGAGGAUGGUAGAAUUCCAGGUGUAGCGGUGAAAUGCGUAGAGAUCUGGAGGAAUACCGAUGGCGAAGGCAGCCAUCUGGCCUAAUACUGACGCUGAGGUACGAAAGCAUGGGGAGCAAACAGG
rnacentral:rRNA from 1 species